UGCCGCCUCAGCCUCCCAUUCCCACCCCAGCUGGGGUUCUUCCUGUGGUGCCCUCCAGGGCCCUCACCUCUCAUCUGCGGCAUCGCUGUCCUCAGCCCCCUUUGAUCCCUGGAACAGGAAAGCUGCAUCUCAGGUCCAAGCAUUGAAGAUGGUGAACUGGCGCAGGAGGUAAGCCAGGCCUAACAACUCAGAGAGCUGAGGAAUGAAUUCAGGAUUGGAAUGGAUUCCAGACUAGUCUUGAGCCUUCCUCCUUCAAGAACUUCUCAUACAGCAAAGUUCCUGUCUACCAGCGUGAGGUGCAGUCUAAAGCCAUGCUGAAUUUGGUGACAGUAAUGUUAACAAUCCAGUGGAGUGUUAAUCCAGAGAAGGAUUCUAGCCUUCCUACAAAUAUAUUGAACAUGGAGAACAGACAUGACUCUAGUGUUGACUUUGGUUUGUUGAAUUCUUCUUGAGGAAGAUAUAUAGAACAUAGCAUCUCUGAAUUCUUGAGGCACUGUUGCAAUACUCCAUUUGUUAUGGAAAGAUGAUAUCGAAAUGCAGAUCAUCACUACUUUCCUUUCAAGAAAUGCAAGAGAGUAAAAUAGAGAAAGAAGCCAAAGUUCUCCAGAUCAGAUCAGAUGAUAUAGUAACGCCAAAUGGAAAAAGAAAUGACCACAUACACCCGAUAUACACAUGGGACUCCUUAUUCUGUACAUACCCUCUGUUCUUUGGUCCAGGUCCCUCAUGAGCUGAAAGUUUCUCUGCAGUUCAAAGGGGAGGUUUUCAAUACCUAGGGAGAAGAGGAGUAACUGAGACUCACUGGCCUUCAUAGGCCUUAUAGUUGCUUUUCAAGUGCAGCUGUAACAGCAGUCAUCAUUCUUUCCUCAGAAGGGCCAGUGUCUGCUUCUCUUCACAACUAACCUAUCUAUUAUCCUUCUGGUAUCCUUCACCACUCAUCGCAUAUGAACUUCCAAUCUGCACUCCAUAUAGUAGCCAGAAUAUUUUUAAAAAAAUGCAAGUCUGGCCCUGGUCAGGUGGCUCAGUUGGUUGGAACAUUGUCCAAUACACCAAACAGGUCAUGGGUUUGAUCCCCAGUCAGGGCACAUAGCUAGGUUGCAGGCUUGAUCCCCAGUGAGGGUGCAUAUGGAGACAACUGCUUGAUGUUUCUCUCUCACAUCGAUGCUGCUUUCUCUCCCUUAAAUCAAUAAACAUAAUCCUCAGGUGAGGAUUUUAAAAUAAAAAAUGCAAAACAGAUCACUAUCCUGCUUACCACCCUCCAGUAACCUCCUGUAACACUAUUUCUUGUCUUGUUCUGGACUUUCUGGACCUUGCUUACCUCACACCAGCCGUAAUGCAUGUCAGUCUCCCUUUGUGCUCUGUCUGCUCUGAUUAUACUGGCCUUCUCUAAGCAUCUGGAACUUGAAAGCAAUCUUCCUGCUACUUGGCUUUCCACAUGCUGCUCUCUGUGCCUAGAAGGCACCACCUGAUCUUCCUCAUCCCACCUCCAUCAUACCUCUUGGCCUACUAAAUUCCAGUUUAUUCUUCAAAGUUUAGCUCAACCCUGAUUUUUCCAGACUCCAAUAAGUGCCCUGGAAUUUGCUGUCAAGUUAUUCUGUCUCUACCCUUCUUUUCACUUAUCCAACUAUAAUUAAAUAAUUGUGUAAUUAACAGUAUUUUUGGUAUGUCUCCCCAGCCUUCCAGAAGAGUGGGGCAUGCCCGUCUUCUUCUCUUCUAUUUCUCUAGUGUUCAAAACUGUGAUAUGCAUACAAGGGUCUUCAAUAAAUACUUGAAUAAAUGCAUGAAUACGUAAGUCCCUCCCAUUAAAAGAAAAACCUUCUUUGCAUGACUACACUUCAAAUUUUAAAAUGCUUCCACUGCUUUAACCUACAACCUCAUCUGCUACUACCAGUUUAUUCAGAUCACUUUGUCACCAAUGAUUUAUCAAAGCAAAUGA